CGGCGAGUGAAGCGGCAAUAGCUCAAAUUUGAAAGCUGGCGUCUUCGACGUCCGCGUUGUAAUUUGUAGAGGAUGCUUCGGCGAGGACUCCUGCCUAAGUUCCCUGGAAUGGGACGUCACAGAGGGUGAGAAUCCCGUAUGUGGCGGGCGGUCCAAGCCAUGUGAAGCUCCUUCGACGAGUCGAGUUGUUUGGGAAUGCAGCUCUAAAUGGGAGGUAAAUUUCUUCUAAAGCUAAAUACCGGCCAGAGACCGAUAGCGCACAAGUAGAGUGAUCGAAAGAUGAAAAGCACUUUGGAAAGAGAGUUAAAAAGUACGUGAAAUUGUUGAAAGGGAAGCGCUUGCAACCAGACUCGUUCGCAGUUGCUCAGCCCGCCUCUUGGUGGGUGUACUCUUCUGCGGUCGGGCCAGCAUCGGUUCGGGCGGCCGGAUAAAGGUGUCGGGAAUGUAGCACCCUUCGGGGUGUGUUAUAGCCCGGCGCGGAACGCGGCCAGCCUGGACCGAGGAUCUCGCUUCGGCAAGGAUGCUGGCGUAAUGGUUGUAAGCGGCCCGUCUUGAAACACGGACCAAGGAGUCUAACAUCUAUGCGAGUGUUUGGGUGUCAAACCCAUGCGCGUAAUGAAAGUGAACGGAGGUGGGAACCCGCAAGGGUGCACCAUCGACCGAUCCUGAUGUCUUCGGAUGGAUUUGAGUAAGAGCAUAGCUGUUGGGACCCGAAAGAUGGUGAACUAUGCCUGAAUAGGGUGAAGCCAGAGGAAACUCUG
rnacentral:rRNA from 1 species